AUUGAACGCUGGCGGCAUGCUUUACACAUGCAAGUCGAACGGUAGAGGGGCAACCCUUGAGAGUGGCGAACGGGUGAGUAAUGCAUCGGAACGUGCCCAGUAGUGGGGGAUAGCCCGGCGAAAGCCGGAUUAAUACCGCAUGAGACCUGAGGGUGAAAGCGGGGGAUCGCAAGACCUCGCGCUAUUGGAGCGGCCGAUGUCAGAUUAGCUAGUUGGUGGGGUAAAGGCCUACCAAGGCGACGAUCUGUAGCUGGUCUGAGAGGACGACCAGCCACACUGGGACUGAGACACGGCCCAGACUCCUACGGGAGGCAGCAGUGGGGAAUUUUGGACAAUGGGCGCAAGCCUGAUCCAGCCAUGCCGCGUGCGGGAAGAAGGCCUUCGGGUUGUAAACCGCUUUUGUCAGGGAAGAAAUCUUCUGGGCUAAUACCCUGGGAGGAUGACGGUACCUGAAGAAUAAGCACCGGCUAACUACGUGCCAGCAGCCGCCGUAA
rnacentral:rRNA from 1 species